GCUCAGUUGGUUAAGCAUCUGACUUUGGCUCAGGUCAUGGUCUCACGGUUUGUGGGUUCGAGCCCCACAUUGGGCU
rnacentral:tRNA from 1 species